rnacentral:rRNA from 1 species
AUUGAACGCUGGCGGCAGGCUUAACACAUGCAAGUCGAACGAGUGGCGGACGGGUGAGUAAUGUCUGGGAACCUGCCUGGUAGAGGGGGAUAACUACUGGAAACGGUGGCUAAUACCGCAUACCAUCAGAUGUGCCGAGAUGGGAUUAGCUAGUAGGUGGGGUAAUGGCUCACCAAGGCCACGAUCCGUAGCUGGUCUGAGAGGAUGACCAGCCACACUGGGACUGAGACACGGUCCAGACUCCUACGGGAGGCAGCAGUGGGGAAUUUUGGACAAUGGGCGAAAGCCUGAUACAGCCAUCCCGCGUGUAUGAAGAAGGCCUUCGGGUUGUAAAGUACUUUUAGCAGGGAAGCGUUACCUGCAGAAUAAGCACCGGCUAACUCCGUGCCAGCAGCCGCGGUAAUUC